AGCGAACGCUGGCGGCAGGCUUAACACAUGCAAGUCGAGCGGGUGUAGCAAUACAUCAGCGGCAGACGGGUGAGUAACGCGUGGGAACGUACCUUUUGGUUCGGAACAACUCAGGGAAACUUGCGCUAAUACCGGAUAAGCCCUUACGGGGAAAGAUUAAUCGCCGAAAGAUCGGGCCGCGUCUGAUUAGCUAGUUGGUAGGGUAACGGCAUACCGAGGCGACGAUCAGUACCUAGUCUGAGAGGAUGAUCAGCCACAUUGGGACUGAGACGCGGCCCAAACGCCUACGGGCGGCAGCAGUGGGGAAUAUUGGACAAAGGGGGCAACCCUGAUCCAGCCAUGCCGCGUGAGUGAUGAAGGCCCUAAGGUUGUAAAGCUCUGUUGUGCGGGAAGAUAAUGACGGUACCGCAAGAAUAAGCCCCGGCUAACUUCGUGCCAGCCGCCGCGGUAAAAC
rnacentral:rRNA from 1 species